rnacentral:rRNA from 1 species
AACGAACGCUGGCGGCAUGCCUAACACAUGCAAGUCGAACGAGACCUUCGGGUCCUGUGGCGCAUGGGUGCGUAACGCGUGGGAACAUGCCCUCAGGUUCGGAAUAACUCAGAGAAAUUUGAGCCAAUACCGGACGAUGUCUUAGGCCCAAUGAUUUAUUGCCCUAGGUGGGGCCCGCGUGGGAUUAGCUAGUUGGUGGGGUAAAGGCUUACCAAGGCGUGGAUCCAUAGCUGGUCUGAGAGGAUGAUCAGCCACACUGAGACUGAGACGCGGCCCAGACUCCUACGGGAGGCAGCAGUGGGGAAUGUUGGACAGUGGGCGAAGGCCUGAUCCAGCAAUGCCGCGUGAGUGAUGUAAGCCUUAAGGUUGUAAAGCUCAUUUACCCGUGAUGAUAAUGACGGUAUCGAAAGAGUAAGCUCCGGCUAACUCCGUG